rnacentral:rRNA from 1 species
AUUGAACGCUAGCGGGAUGCUUUACACAUGCAAGUCGAACGAGUGGCGGACGGGAGAGUAAUAUAUCGGAACGUGCCCAGUAGCGGGGGAUAACUAAUCGAAAGUGUGGCUAAUACCGCCUACUAUUGGAGCGGCCGAUAUCGGUUGAGCUAGUUGGUUGGGUAAAUGCUCACCAAGGCAACUAUCCGUAACUGGUUGGAGAGGACGACCAUCCACACGGGGACUGAGACACGGCCCAGACUCCUACGGGAGGCAGAAGUGGGGAAUUUUGGACAAUGGGGGAAACCCUGAUCCAGCCAUCCCGCGUGUAUGAGAAGGCCUUCGGGUUGUAAAGUACUUUUGGCAGAGAAGCGGUAUCUGCAGAAUAAGCACCGGCGAACUACGUGCCAGCAGCCGCGGUAAUUC